GUUUAAUGGUUAGCGACUUACCUUAGGGUUUCCUCUGGGGUAAGUGAUUGCUUCUACACUGUGAAAAUUUGGCUGAGAGACUCAGACUGGUCAUGGGUAGACCUAUCUGGGGUUUGAUCGAUGCCACUCCUGGUUUCAGGAGUACCCUUCAUAAUAAACCUAGAAAUUCAGUAUUAUAAAGUUUAAUAAAAAACAACUUUUAACAAUGGAUCUCUUGGUUCUCGCAUCGAUGAAGAACGUAGCAAAGUGCGAUAACUAGUGUGAAUUGCAUAUUCAGUGAAUCAUCGAGUCUUUGAACGCAGCUUGCACUCUAUGGUUUUUCUAUAGAGUACGCCUGCUUCAGUAUCAUCACAAACCCACACAUAACAUUUGUUUAUGUGGUGAUGGGUCGCAUCGCUGUUUUAUUACAGUGAGCACCUAAAAUGUGUGUGAUUUUCUGUCUGGCUUGCUAGGCAGGAAUAUUACGCUGGUCUCAGGAUCUUUUUUUUUGGUUCGCCCAGGAAGUAAAGUACAAGAGUAUAAUCCAGUAACUUUCAAACUAUGAUCUGAAGUCAGGUGGGAUUACCCGCUGAACUUAAGCAUAUCAAAAGCGGGAGGAA
rnacentral:rRNA from 1 species